rnacentral:rRNA from 1 species
GUAAAGCACUUUCAGUAGGGAGGAAGGUAGUGUAGUUAACACCUGCACAUUUGACGUUACCUACAGAAGAAGCACCGGCUAACUCCGUGCCAGCAGCCGCGGUAAUACGGAGGGUGCGAGCGUUAAUCGGAAUUACUGGGCGUAAAGCGCAUGCAGGCGGCCUGUUAAGUCAGAUGUGAAAGACCCGGGGCGUUAACCUCGGAAUUGCAUUUGAAACUGGCAGGCUAGAGUCUUGUAGAGGGGGGUAGGAAUUUCAGGUGUAGCGGUGAAAUGCGUAGAGAUCUGAAGGAAUACCAGUGGCGAAGGCGGCCCCCUGGACAAAGACUGACGCUCAGAUGCGAAAGCGUGGGGAGCAAACAGGAUUAGAUACCCUGGUAG